rnacentral:tRNA from 1 species
AAUGAUAUGCCUGAUUAAAGGAUUAUUUUGAUAGAAUAAAUCAUGUAUAAAUCAUAUACUUUCAUUA